UGCGGCUAGGCCGGAGGUGCGCCCGGACCCGCGGGGCCUGCGCGGCGCGGGCGCGGGGGAGGGGCGCCCUGCGGGGCCCGCUGGGUCUCCCGGGAUCCUGGGACCCCCUAAGUCCUGCGCCUCGCGGAAGUCCUAGCACCACCACGUUUGCACACUCAUCCCUGCCUCUGCGGUGGGGGCGGGGGGAGAUGGGUGGGGUGCUUCUGGCUCAGGAGACCCAGCCACCUGCAAAAGGUGUGGCCCUGUGGGUUUGGAAGGUGAAGAGGGCCGCGGGUUGCCUGGGUGAGGCUACCUGUGAAUUGCCUCGGGAAGACCAAAUGGAUGCAAUGGAUUGGGCCAUGUGGAUGCAGCUCACGUUUCUGCGAAGUUGAGAGAGUAAAUCACGACUGCUGUGCAUGUAUGCACGAAUAAAAUGACACAGAGCUUUUUACCCCUUUGCUUCGUAGAAGGCUUUCUCCUUGCACACAGUGGGCGCUUAAUAAGCCUUAAGUGCCUGUUCAGAGGGAUUUGAUGGGCUGUCCAGAAUGGGAACUGAUCAUGAAAAUGGUUUGCAAAAUGACAUUGAAAACAGAAUUCUGAUGAGUAAUUGUCAGGCUUUGAAAUUUUCAAAGUUUCAACAAACCUCCUUAAUGGCCUUUCCCAUCUCUUCUGAUGAAAGUGAGAUAAAAGAGCGAGCAAGGCUCUCAAGUUCUGGUGGUCUUAAAAGUGGUUUGGUAAGAAUAGCAAACCUGCUGAUUCAUAUCAUGUCUGAGUAGUCAUAAUUAAAAGUGCUCCGAGUACAAAAUAAAUUUCUCAUCAUGGCUUAAACUCUAGCGAUGCAGAGUUUCAAGAGAAAUUUUCCUAGUUCACUUUUCUCCUCCUCCUCCUUAAUCUAGAUGGGGAUGAUAAAUGUAAAUAAUAGAAAUGCAAAAGCAUGCAUUAUGUAAAUAUGUGUGGAUGGUAGCCCCUGACCUGCAGAAAACUCAUCCUAUAAACUCAUCCUAUGUUCCAUCCAUUUCAUCAGUUGUAGCAGGAUAAACAAAAUUUCAUGUAAGUUGAGUAAUAAUUUUACCUGGUUGCCUACCUACUUAGCUGAUUAAAAGACAAUAUAAAUAUUUAAUUUAGGGCUAACAGGAAUUAAACACAAUUAUUCCUUUUGAAUUAACUUGCAGUCAGAUGAUUUAGACAAGCAGUUGGUAAAUCAUAAGUUUCUUUCUUGAGUUAGCAGAAGUUGGCCCAGGAUUGUAGAGAUAAUCUUUUAGGAGGGUCAAGGGUUUAUGAAUUGUCUGAAAUUAAACUAUUAAGUGAAGAUAUCUACUCCCAAAGGGCUAAUAUUUUUCUUUUAAUGGUGAAAGUAUUGAAAACUUAAGUUUAGAUUGUUUGGCAGAGAUAAGAAUUAUUAUACUUGGGAAACAGUUUGAUCCAGAAAACUUUUUGAAAAAUAGAUGUUAAAAUGAGCAAAUACUUGAAUCCAAAACUUGAAGAGCAUCUCUGGAACUGCUGAGAUGAGAAGAGGCCCUUCACCUUUAAAGAGCAGCUGGCCGUACAGAGAUAGGAAUUGAUCUCAUGAAGAGGAAUAACAUCCGGGUUAGUUGGCACUGUAUAAAUAUACUUUGGAUGAGGAGCUAAGAGUAAAAAUAUGAAAGUACUUAUGAAAGCUCUACAUUUUUAUGAUUUAUUGUGGUUUACUCUAUACACUUUUGGAGAUAAUGAGAUUUUUAAAUAAAUGGUUGCUUUACUGGUUCAAUGUCUUAAUCAGCUAGUGGCCACAUUAAAGAUUCAUGAAAAGACCCAAGAUGUGAGUGUUAUUUUACUUUCAUUCACGGGUCUUAUUUAGUCUUGUAGAUAACCUUGAGAGGGUUAGAGAUAUGACUCUUUUUGAACAGUUACCAUUUAAUCACUAGUCAAAAGCCCUGACGGAAUUUUCAAAGCCUGUAGUUUUCACUAUGCCUAUUCUUUAUCAUUCAAAUCACUACAUUAACUUGUGAAUGGCAGUCUUUCCUGUAAAUGUGUACUUGGAUGCAUUUUUAUGUGCAUGGCGGCUCUGACUAUUGAGCCAACAGCGUCACCUUCAGAACACACCCUUUUUACCUUGCAGCUCCAUCCGCAGCUUGUCUUUGCCUCUUCCCAUUUCUAGUUAGGGACAAGGGCCUGUGGCUUCAAAGACAAAGAAAUGUGCUUUCAGCAGCCGCUGUCUUAAGCAGUUUUCUCCUCCUUGAAGAUGCUAUACCUCUUCUGAUUUGCUUUCCGCUUUUAUGCCUUUCAUCUUCCUGCUAGUUUGGUACUGGAGUGAGUCCCCAUCCCAGUGAAAAGCCCAAGUAUUCUAAGCCAAAGCCUUCUCACACCUGCUCGCUUACAUUGCCUUAAAACACCCCACAGCCUGGUAACUGAAGUGGUACUCUCACAGCCCUGGUGUCCGUCCACACAGAGCCCUGGUGUCAAUCCACACAGAGCCCUGGUGUCGUUUCCUGGAGACCAGAGAAGCUUCUCAUGGUGAGUGCAUACUCAAGUUUGUAGAAACACUCUUGGGGUGACCAUCAUAAAUAGGUGAGGUUAAACUGGUAACAAGGAAGCUUAGAAACACAGAGAAAACUAAAUUUAGCAAUGAAGGUCAUGCCCCAGACUUGUGAAUGAGCACUUGUAUCACUGCUGUGAAAUCUUUUGGCUUUGGGACUCAGAAAGCAACUGUAAUACUAAGAAUCCUUAUUUAGCUGAUUUCAUCUUUGGGUACAUUUGUGAAAGUACAGCUGCAUUUUGAAUUUAUUUAUGUGAUAGCAUAGCACUUGCUUGUUUUUUUGUUUUGUUUUGUUUUUCCCCCAGGGACAGUUCUAAGUACUUGUUACUUUUUGGUGAAGGAAAAUAAAAACACCACCAGACUUUGGGGCAUCUUAAAUGCUAGUGAAGGGGGAUGAACAGUAACUUAAGUAAGUGAUAGAGUGUAUUGAAAGGUAAUUAAUGAUACGUUAGGAAAGUCAGAGUAAGGGACAGUGGAUUUGAAGUAAUGAGUGUUGGAGUUUGAAAGAACUUGGUGAGGAUAGAUAGGCCCUAGAAGCCAAUACAGGGUCACAAUCUCGAAAGUGGGAGCCAGGAUGUCCAGACAGGGGAGAGCAAACAUGGCCCAGGUCCCAAGACAGGACCAUGCCUUUGGAGGAGAGACACGGAUAUCUGACCCAAUUUAGCUCUUGUAAUAGUAGUGACCAGCAGGCCUUUUAAGACUUGCCCUGCAUGGUAAGAGCCUUUCCUUAGCUGUCAUUUAUGCAGUUUUCCAUUGGGGCGGGAGUCUUGUUCACAGGGAGUAGCUUUCCCUAGCCAGGACUGGUGAUUCUAGACCUAGAAUAUCUCUGGGCUUGAUGGUUUUCCUCCAAAACCAAGGUCAUAAAUCCACAGGUACUUCAUUUCAUAGAGUGGGUAUCUAAUUAAUAAAUUGAAGUUUCUGAAAAGAAACCUAAAUGUAGUUCCUAUCAUAAUGUAGAUGGAUUCCCAGAGAUGACCUCGGAAAUGUUACACUUUGACUGUGAAGGGUCUCCCACAGGCUCGUGGGUUUGAAUAUUUGGUCCCUGAAUGUUAGUACAGUUAUAGAAGGCUGUGUAACCUUUAAGAUGUAGAACCUGACUGGAGGAAGUGGAGGGAAGAGGGUCCUUGAGCCCUGCCCCACUUCCUGCCUGUGGUCUGCUUCUUACUUGUUGAUCCAGUGUGACCAGCUACCUCGCACUUCUUGCCACCAUGCCAGACUGUACCCUCAUACCUUGAGCCGAAAUAAAUGCUCUCGUAAGUUCUUUCUGUCAGAUAUUUUAUGACAGCUGUGAGAAAAGUCACUUUGAUAGAGAGUUGAUGCCGAGAAGUAGGGCGGUUGCUGUAAUAAAUUAGACCACAGAAGCCUUUGGAACUGGUUUGUGGGAGGAAUGUGGAAGAGUUUGGAGCUUCAGGCUAGAGAAGCCCUAGUAUUCUGUAAGCAGAGCUUACUGGGCCAUUCUGUUUGGGAGAACAGAAUGCUGAGAGAAAUGUGGUCAGUGGAGACCUAGCCCAAUAAGUUUCAUCAGGAACAGGGCUAGAGGCUGUUGGUGUUAUCUUCUGGUGAAGAGUCUUUCUUUAUUCUCUCCAUGUCCUGGGAACUUAGUGAGGCUGAAUUCAGAAGCGAUGGACUGGUUUGUUUGCUGGGGGAUGUUUCAAGGCAGACUAGCACUGAGGCAGUGGUGUGGUUACUGCUCACUACCCUUAAUCUCGGGUUUCGAUUUACAAGAGCAACAAAUGGAGCAGAGGGAUUUUUUUUUUUUUUUUUUUUUUUUUUUUUUUUUUUUUUUAAAUAUCCAGUUUACUGAGCAAUGAGCAUGGGCAGGUUUAAGGUCGCAGGCAAGGCAGGGUCUGAAAAAGCACGUGUGCUUACUAAGGAGAUGAACACCAUUAAAGAGAAACUUCCCAUUCCGCACUGGCACAGCAGGAAGGUACCCCGAGGACAAGCUCCUCCUAGUAAAGGCUCCAUCUAGUGAAAAUGCAAGUUCAUUUGAAAGGAGAGCACCCGAGCUGAAAAUGCUACUAAAGGACUUCCCUGCCUGAAAGCAACUGUCUGGGGAAAGGCUUUGCAGAUUCAGCAGCCAGGGACACAGAAGCCACUCUAGCUUUGGCUCCGAGGGGCCAGGCUGCAUCUCAAGAUGACAGCAGAGCUUGGCAGCAUCCUCCACAUGACUGAUUUUACAGGCUUGAAAGAUUUAAGAGUAUGGGGUUUGGGGAAGAUGGCUAUUAUACAGGUUUUUGCUAAGACUCUAGAGAGCUACUAAGGCCAGGCACUGUGUGGUAGAAUUGACUUCCCUGUAAUGAGGCCUGAGAGGUCAUUUCAUGAAGCUGUGAAAAUGAACACUAAGUUGCAAUGGAGACUCCAGAAUGCUAGAAAUUUUAGGACCAUGGGCUAUCCACUGAGGAAAGACUCAGAUGGCACAGCUGGCCAGGGCUACUAAGGCCUGCGGAGUCCAGGUGAUUCCAUCGUGAGUACCAAAUGCCAAAUAUGGAGCUGAAGGAUUUGGUGUUUUCCCCAUUAGCUUUUGGUUUUGCUUUGGUCUGCUCUUUCCUUACUGUGCUCAGAUUCCUCCCUUUUGGAAUGGAAGUGUUGUAUGUUGGAAGUAUGUAACUUGUUUUUUGAUAUCAUGGACUCAGAGUUAAGAUAAUUGCCUCUAGUCUCGAAAGAGACUUUGGUAUUGAAAAAGUGUUGGGACCUUUUUGGGGGGUUAUUUUUAUUAAUGUGUGUGUGUCUUUGUGAGUGAAUACCACAUAUGCAGGUUCCCAGGUGAGAAGAAAGAAAGUGUCACAGGUGAUAGGGGCCAUCUGAUGUGAGUGCUGGUAACCAGACAUAGGUCUUCUGGAAAAGCAGCACAUGUUCGUAACUGCUGACCCAUCUCUGCAGCCAUCUCCCUUUUCAAAGAGUGCUCUGGUUUGUCCAUCCAUUUACCAUGCAGUUGUCCUUCCUGUAUUGCUGGGAACUGAACUAGGGCCUCUUGUGUCCUAGUCAGGAACUUCACCACUGACCUCUACCCCUCACUCAUGGUUGAGACUCUUAGAGGCUAUGGAGACUUCUGACGUUGGAGUACCUGCAUUUGGCAUUAUGAGAUGACCACGACUCUGUGGGAAGUAGGGUAGACUGAGUGUUGUGGUUUGAAUGUGAAAUCCUUCCGAUAAGCUCCUGUUAGUCCCCACAAGGUUGUAGAACCUCUAGGAAGUGGAACUUUGCUGAAGAAAAUGAGUCAUCAAGGGUGGCCUUGGGGUUUUAUAGUCCAGUGCCCUUUUCGGUCUGCUUCCUGCUUGCUGGUGCUGACAGAUGUGACCAGCCACCUUAGAGGCCUGCCACCAGGCCUCCUGCACCGUGAUGUAACGUCUCCUCCUGUGACUAGUUAAGCCCUGUCCCCCUUAGUUGCUGUUUGUCAGGUGUUGGUCACAGCACCAAAAGUGAACUGAUCAGUAAGUACCAGCAGCAUCCAAGAGGUGUGAUAGCGGAACGGCAGCUUGCACAGCAUGGGCAGGCCUUGAGCCCUGCUUCGCAGUGAAGACCAAAGCCAGAACUCCCUGUGCUUUCAUUGCUGAAUGUAACUGACCGGGAAGCACCAUAGUGACUCCUGCCUGCUUGAAAGGGAUCAGACCCACCUCUGCAGCUUGUCACCUUCUGACUGUGGACAGCUUGUCACCCUCUGACUUAUGUACACGGUGUCUGUUUUGUAAAACGAAGAUAAUAAAAGCGGCUGCCUCAUAAGGUGUUAAUGGGGACUAAAUGAGAUUAUAUUGGUAAAAGACUCAUCUACGGUAUUAAAUUAUCUACAUCAUUCAA